rnacentral:rRNA from 1 species
AACGAACGCUGGCGGCAGGCCUAACACAUGCAAGUCGAACGGACGUAGCAAUACGUUAGUGGCUCACGGGAGAGUAACGCGUGGGAACCUACCUUUUGGUUCGGGAUAACAUCGGGAAACUGGUGCUAAUACCGGAUAAGCCCUUCGGGGGAAAGAUUUAUUGCCGAAAGAUGGGCACGCGUUGGAUUAGCUAGUUGGUGAGGUAAUGGCUCACCAGGGCAACGAUCCAUAGCUGGGCUGAGAGGAUGAUCAGCCUCACUGGGACUGAGACACGGCCCAGACUCCUACGGGAGGCAGCAGUGGGGAAUAUUGGACAAUGGGGGAAACCCUGAUCCAGCCAUGCCGCGUGAAUGAUGAAGGCAUUCGGGUUGUAAAGUUCUUUUGGUGGGGACGAUGAUGACGGUACCCACAGAAUAAGCUCCGGCUAACUUCGUGCCAGCCGCCGCAGUAA